rnacentral:SRP_RNA from 1 species
AUAUAUGUGAGGCAAACACGUAGUUCAAACCGCGUCAGGUCCGGAAGGAAGCAGCGCUAGAGCAAAGGGUUGUGCCUUUUCUAACCUACAUCAU